rnacentral:rRNA from 1 species
UACGUAGGGGCAAGCGUUGUCCGGAUUUAUUGGGCGUAAAGAGCGUGUAGGCGGCUGGGUAGGUCUGCUGUGAAAACUCGAGGCUCAACCUCGAGACGUCGGCGGAAACCCUCCAGCUAGAGUCCGGAAGAGGAGAGUGGAAUUCCUGGUGUAGCGGUGAAAUGCGCAGAUAUCAGGAAGAACACCCGUGGCGAAGGCGGCUCUCUGGGACGGUACUGACGCUGAGACGCGAAAGCGUGGGGAGCGAACAGG